rnacentral:misc_RNA from 1 species
UCGCGGCUUAUCACCGGCAGUCCCCUUAGAGUGCCCAACUGAAUGAUGGCAACUAAGGGCGAGGGUUGCGCUCGUUGCGGGACUUAACCCAACAUCUCACGACACGAGCUGACGACAGCCAUGCAGCACCUGUGUUCCCGCCAGCCGAACUGAAGGAUCCCAUCUCUGGAACCCACACGGGACAUGUCAAGGGUCGGUAAGGUUCUGCGCGUUGCUUCGAAUUGAACCACAUGCUCCACCGCUUGUGCGGGCCCCCGUCAAUUUCUUUGAGUUUUAGCCUUGCGGCCGUACUCCCCAGGCGGGGCACUUAAUGCGUUAGCUGCGGCACAGGUGAUUACUCACCCACACCUAGCAUCCAUCGUUUAGGGCGUGGACUAC